rnacentral:sRNA from 2 species
UUGCGCGGAACGCCGAACCCUGUCACCGCGCGAGGAGCACCACGACCCGAUGACAGGGACGGGGGACCCAAAUUCGGGUACCGGAAACGGUGCCCUUGGGGUGAAGCCAGACGGACCUCGGUCCUGACGGCCGGGUGAUUCUCCCACCCGAACCCGACAGCUGACCUCGCAGGCGUCCAGGAGAGGUAUC